rnacentral:lncRNA from 1 species
ACAAAUUAAAUGUCAUAAUGUACAAUAUAAACUUCGUACAUUCAGUCGAUCAAAAAAGAAUAAUACAAAUGUAGAACAAAAGAAGAAGAUAAUACAAAUGUCUUCACGCAUUAAAUAUCGUUCAAAUGAGGUUGUAACAAAAGAAUAAAACAUAUUAAAUAUAAAGUAUAUAUGUUGAUACUAAUAUGACUUAUGCAAAACAAAAAACGACCAUUUUUGAUGUAUUACAAUAACAGAAAGCUAAAC